rnacentral:rRNA from 1 species
GCAUGUCUAAGUAUAAGCAAUUUAUACAGUGAAACUGCGAAUGGCUCAUUAAAUCAGUUAUCGUUUAUUUGAUAGUACCUUACUACUUGGAUAACCGUGGUAAUUCUAGAGCUAAUACAUGCUUAAAAUCCCGACUGUUUGGAAGGGAUGUAUUUAUUAGAUAAAAAAUCAAUGUCUUCGGACUCUUUGAUGAUUCAUAAUAACUUUUCGAAUCGCAUGGCCUUGUGCUGGCGAUGGUUCAUUCAAAUUUCUGCCCUAUCAACUUUCGAUGGUAGGAUAGUGGCCUACCAUGGUUUCAACGGGUAACGGGGAAUAAGGGUUCGAUUCCGGAGAGGGAGCCUGAGAAACGGCUACCACAUCCAAGGAAGGCAGCAGGCGCGCAAAUUACCCAAUCCCGACACGGGGAGGUAGUGACAAUAAAUAACGAUACAGGGCCCUUUCGGGUCUUGUAAUUGGAAUGAGUACAAUGUAAAUACCUUAACGAGGAACAAUUGGAGGGCAAGUCUGGUGCCAGCAGCCGCGGUAAUUCCAGCUCCAAAAGCGUAUAUUAAAGUUGUUGCAGUUAAAAAGCUCGUAGUUGAACCUUGGGCUUGGUUGGCCGGUCCAUCUUUCUGAUGCGUACUGGACCCAACCGAGCCUUUCCUUCUGGCUAGCCUUUUGGCGAACCAGGACUUUUACUUUGAAAAAAUUAGAGUGUUCAAAGCAGGCCUUUGCUCGAAUAUAUUAG